rnacentral:rRNA from 1 species
AGAGUUCUUUCCUGGCUCAGGAUGAACGCUGGCGGCGUGCCUAACACAUGCAAGUCGAACGGGGCGCGCCGGCGGGGGCCCUCCGGGGCUGAAGCCGGCGCCGCCCAGUGGCGGACGGGUGAGUAACGCGUGGGCAACCUGCCCCGCACUGGGGGACAACAGCCGGAAACGGCUGCUAAUACCGCAUGGGCGCACAGCCCCGCAUGGGGCGGUGCGGAAAGCCUUGGCGGUGCGGGAUGGGCCCGCGUCUGAUUAGCUUGUUGGCGGGGCAACGGCCCACCAAGGCGACGAUCAGUAGCCGGCCUGAGAGGGUGGGCGGCCACAUUGGGACUGAGACACAGCCCAAACUCCUACGGGAGGCGGCAGUGGGGGAUAUUGCACAAUGGGGGGAACCCUGAUGCAGCGACGCCGCGUGGGCGAUGGAGCGCCUCGGCGCGUAAAGCCCUAUGAGCAGGGAAGAAAAUGACGGUACCUGACUAAGAAGCCCCGGCUAAAUACGUGCCAGCAGCCGCGGUAAUACGUAUGGGGCAAGCGUUAUCCGGAUUUACUGGGUGUAAAGGGAGCGCAGGCGGCCUGGCAAGCCUGAUGUGAAAUACCGGGGCCCAACCCCGGGGCUGCAUUGGGAACUGCCAGGCUGGAGUGCCGGAGAGGCAGGCGGAAUUCCUAGUGUAGCGGUGAAAUGCGUAGAUAUUAGGAGGAACACCAGUGGCGAAGGCGGCCUGCUGGACGGUGACUGACGCUGAGGCUCGAAAGCGUGGGGAGCAAACAGGAUUAGAUACCCUGGUAGUCCACGCCGUAAAC